AUUGAACGCUGGCGGCAGGCCUAACACAUGCAAGUCGAGCGGAGCGGCGGACGGGUGAGUAAUGCCUAGGAAUCUGCCCGGUAGUGGGGGAUAACGUCAGGAAACGGGCGCUAAUACCGCAUACUAUCAGAUGAGCCUAGGUCGGAUUAGCUAGUUGGCGGGGUAAAGGCCUACCAAGGCGACGAUCCGUAACUGGUCUGAGAGGAUGAUCAGUCACACUGGAACUGAGACACGGUCCAGACUCCUACGGGAGGCAGCAGUGGGGAAUAUUGGGCAAUGGGCGAAAGCCUGAUCCAGCCAUGCCGCGUGUGUGAAGAAGGUCUUCGGAUUGUAAAACACUUUUAGUUGGGAUGCGGUACCCACAGAAUAAGCACCGGCUAACUUCGUGCCAGCAGCCGCGGUAAUUC
rnacentral:rRNA from 1 species